rnacentral:rRNA from 1 species
UACGGGGGGGGCAAGCGUUGUUCGGAAUUACUGGGCGUAAAGGGCUCGUAGGCGGCCAACUAAGUCGGAUGUGAAAUCCCCAGGCUUAACCUGGGAACUGCAUCCGAUACUGGAUGGCUUGAAUCCGGGAGAGGGAUGCAGAAUUCCAGGUGUAACGGUGAAAUGCGUAGAUAUCUGGAGGAAUACCGGUGGCGAAGGCGGCAUCCUGGACCGGCAUUGACGCUGAGGCGCGAAAGCCAGGGGAGCAAACGGG